UUCGUCGUCCUCCUGCGGAACGGGCUCGGGAACCAUGUCUUCCUGAUCUGAAAUGGUUAAAUAAGGAGUGAGCUACACUAGCCCAGUAAGAACAUCACGAUAUCUCACCAUCACGGAGGUAAAGGUGGGUAGAAAAACACAAAAGACCAAUGGAGCAUGAUUUACAACAAAUCCUUUUAUUUAUGAUAAAACCUUUACCAUCCAC
rnacentral:lncRNA from 1 species